rnacentral:rRNA from 1 species
AGGGAAAGGCGAAAAGAACCCCGGCGAGGGGAGUGAAAAAGAACCUGAAACCGUGUACGUACAAGCAGUAGGAGCCCCACCACCAAAGCGUUUCGCUUUGCGUGGUGCGCAAAAUGCGUAACGACAAUGCGAUGGACGGUUAACGGAGCGUAAGCGACGUUCAACAUCAAAAUCAGGCAGUGGAGCGUUUUGGGGUGGGGUGACUGCGUACCUUUUGUAUAAUGGGUCAGCGACUUAUAUUCUGUAGCAAGGUUAACCGUAUAGGGGAGCCGCAGGGAAACCGAGUCUUAACUGGGCGUUAAGUUGCAGGGUAUAGACCCGAAACCCGGUGAUCUAGCCAUGGGCAGGUUGAAGGUUGGGUAACACUAACUGGAGGACCGAACCGACUAAUGUUGAAAAAUUAGCGGAUGACUUGUGGCUGGGGGUGAAAGGCCAAUCAAACCGGGAGAUAGCUGGUUCUCCCCGAAAGCUAUUUAGGUAGCGCCUCGUGAAUUCAUCUUCGGGGGUAGAGCACUGUUUCGGCUAGGGGGUCAUCCCGACUUACCAACCCGAUGCAAACUACGAAUACCG